rnacentral:rRNA from 1 species
AGUGAACGCUGGCGGUAGGCCUAACACAUGCAAGUCGAACGGCAGCACAGUAAGAGCUUGCUCUUACGGGUGGCGAGUGGCGGAAGGGUGAGGAAUACAUCGGAAUCUACUUUUUCGUGGGGGAUAACGGAGGGAAACUUACGCUAAUACCGCAUACGACAUACGGGUGAAAGCAGGGGAUCUUCGGACCUUGCGCGAUUGAAUGAGCCGAUGUCGGAUUAGCUAGUUGGCGGGGUAAAGGCCCACCAAGGCGACGAUCCGUAGCUGGUCUGAGAGGAUGAUCAGCCACACUGGAACUGAGACACGGUCCAGACUCCUACGGGAGGCAGCAGUGGGGAAUAUUGGACAAUGGGCGCAAGCCUGAUCCAGCCAUACCGCGUGGGUGAAGAAGGCCUUCGGGUUGUAAAGCCCUUUUGUUGGGAAAGAAAAGCAGCAGGUUAAUACCCCGCUGUUCUGACGGUACCCAAAGAAUAAGCACCGGCUAACUUCGUG